rnacentral:rRNA from 1 species
AGCGAACGCUGGCGGCAGGCUUAACACAUGCAAGUCGAGCGGGCGUAGCAAUACGUCAGCGGCAGACGGGUGAGUAACGCGUGGGAACGUACCUUUUGGUUCGGAACAACACAGGGAAACUUGUGCUAAUACCGGAUAAGCCCUUACGGGGAAAGAUUUAUUGCCGAAAGAUCGGCCCGCGUCUGAUUAGCUAGUUGGUAGGGUAAUGGCCUACCAAGGCGACGAUCAGUAGCUGGUCUGAGAGGAUGAUCAGCCACAUUGGGACUGAGACACGGCCCAAACUCCUACGGGAGGCAGCAGUGGGGAAUAUUGGACAAUGGGGGCAACCCUGAUCCAGCCAUGCCGCGUGAGUGAUGAAGGCCCUAGGGUUGUAAAGCUCUUUUGUGCGGGAAGAUAAUGACGGUACCGCAAGAAUAAGCCCCGGCUAACUUCGUGCCAGCCGCCGCCGUAAGAC